UACGUAGGGUGCGAGCGUUAAUCGGAAUUACUGGGCGUAAAGCGUGCGCAGGCGGUUGUGUAAGACAGGUGUGAAAUCCCCGGGCUUAACCUGGGAACUGCGCUUGUGACUGCACGGCUAGAGUACGGCAGAGGGGGGUGGAAUUCCACGUGUAGCAGUGAAAUGCGUAGAUAUGUGGAGGAACACCGAUGGCGAAGGCAGCCCCCUGGGCCGAUACUGACGCUCAUGCACGAAAGCGUGGGGAGCAAACAGG
rnacentral:rRNA from 2 species